AAAGGGACACCAAUAACUGGCAGAAGGCUUUGGACAUGGAUGAUUUUGCUGUGUGCUCAUUACUUUGUGAGAUCAUAAACAAACAGACAAUGCUUUGCAGUCAGCUUAAUCAGUCCUGGUAACUCCUCUACACACCUCCCAGCAUGAAGCCUUGUGAAUACAGCUUGUUUUCAGGGGUGAAGGAAGAGAACAGGAUGGAUUUUUAACUGUGCCAGCUGUAUUCUACUGGCAACAGCUAUGGUCUCAAAGAUCUUAUCCGAUAUCACUAAAGCUCUUUGAAGGUGGGAAGCUCUGCUGCCAACUCGUUGCAACUGAGAGAAGUGUCAAUGAUUUAAGGGCUGGUCCGGCCCGGUUCCGCGACUAGUGGGCGGAGGGAUUUCUCAAAAUCCACGCCUCCAGGAAGGGAAACAGGGGAGCCCAAAAUAAUUAAAAACAGCGGCAACGAUCUGAGGAGAAACAAACUAAUUUACUAAAUAUAGUAUCGGAAUGUAAGAUAACACACUAUAAUACAAUAUAAAUCAGCAAUAAUUGAGAGAAAGAUUGUCCGAGAGCCAAAGGCCUUACGCUAAUACUGAAACCUUGCGUGCAGUCGGGCGCAGCAGUAGUGAGCCGAUCUGACAGGGAACACGGCGAGAUGAGAAGAGGGACAAGUCAGAUGACCUGCGCCCUUAUAUCUGUUCCCUUGAGCAGGAAUGAUAACAGUAUUCGAAAAGGCUCUUGGGGAACGUAGUUCUUCUUCUCUUCCAGACAGGUACCCGGAACUAAAGCAUUUGCUCCUUAGCUCCCAGUACACUGCAUGAUGUUGUGAUGUGGAAUACUGAUAACCAAAAAUCAUAAAACCAUGACAAGAAGUUACAGAUUUGAAAAAUCUUCAGUAAGUACUAGAAGUGUUUUAGGUAAUGAAAGAAAACACUUCAAUCCUGAAAAUCUUACCAAAUUUUUGAGCUGUUUAUGCACCACUGGCAACAACAUUUUGGAUCAUGAAGUUCUGUAAAUACACAAAUACAGGAUACUAAAUGUAGACAAGACUACCAUUUUGAGUGGUAAGAUAAUUUGUUCCCUACUUAAGUUCUGUUGCUGACCAAGUAAAGAGAAUAGCAACCAAACAUCACCUAGAACACUACUGGCCCUUGAUUUACUUGGCUCAUGUUUAGGACACUAGUUGUCAGGAAACUUCACAGGUGAGUUUUAAAAAUUUAAUUAGCUUUCUAAUACAUUGAGUAUUAAUGUACCUUUUUAGUUUUGUUUAUGUAAUUAUAUUAAUUAAAGCUACUUAUAUACUGGCCUAACCACCUUAAUGUUCAACUGAAUAAUGAAAUUAGUAAGAACAGUGAAACAACAAAUGUGUUUCAUUUUCUUGUGGCACUAUGUUCAUAGACAAUUAUUAUUAUUAUUAUUAUUAUUAUUAUUAUAUUUAUUUAUUUAUUUUGCUGGGAAAUGAAAAGCUUCAGUUCUGUAAGGGAGUUAGCAUAUGCCCAGACUCCAACUUUUACUGAAAUUCCUCUUUAUUCUCUAGAUAGCUUCAGCAUAUGCUUUAAAUUAAGGUCAUAUUAAAAUUUCUGUUUUCAGAUCAAUCUGAACAUAUAUGCUCUGCUGUUCUGAAUGCAAAGACAUGAAUUCAGCAGAUGUAACAGUACAACAUUAAAGCCAGUAUCUACUCCCCAGAUUCAUACUACUGUCAAUCUACUAUGAAAAAAAUUGUUGUACAAUACUGAAAAUAAUAUAUUUGCUUUCACUAUUAUAUUUUUGCUUGUUGGGUAUGUUAAUUCAAAUGCAAAUCUUUAGGACUGAAACUAAGUCAAGCUCACAAAUACACAUAUUUCAUAGAAUCAUAGCUUGAUCAUAGUUUGAGUUGGAAGGGCCAUCUAGUCCAACACCAAUGCAAUGAACAGGGACACCUACUGCUGGAUCAGGUUGUGCUUGUAUUUAAGUUCAUACUGAUCAGGCAGUGUUUAGUAUAUGAAUUGUCAUCCUUAAUGAAAUGGUUUAAUCAUUAAGACAAAUCAGAAAACCUGUAUGGCAAUCUUAGCAUUUUAUUGAAAUAUCUGAACAUAUUUUUACCUUAUCAAUUUCUAUGUGUUACUUAUAAAUCCACUUUACAACUGAAGUCAUAGGAGAAACAAUGUGCUUCUGGAAGUAUGAAAAACUUGAUCAGAAGUAUUUAACUUCAGCAAAUGAUUCUCAAGAUGUCUUGCUCUCUUACAAUUUCAUUGUGUACUGUAGAGAAUAUUCCACUCACUACGAGCAUUAAGAGACCUGUCAUUCAUAUAAGCAGCAUGACAAGUGAUUCAAUAAAACACAUGACAUAUCCUCUGGUUGAACUGACAACAGGAUCUAGGGAGAAUCAGAUAUGCCUUUAAAAAGUGUUUAGUACUUUAACACUGUGCAGCAUAGAAAUCCCUUUUUAACAAAUUGUUACGGGGAAAAAUGAGAAAAAAAAACAUUUUUCAGGAUGAAGAUCAUACUGCAUCAGCUAGAUAAUACCACAUAAUACUGAGAUAAUUGAAUUCAUUGCAUUUGGAGGAUCCUAGUUUGCCAGAUUAUUCAUUUUGCAGGAGCACUUCAUCUUUAGAAGCUUGGCUUCUCUGCCAAUCUAUGCUCAAGGCUGUGUGAGGCAAAAUUAAGUUACAUAUUGAGAAGAGCAACAAAGAAUAAAGACACUGACCUAGUUCAGAAGCUAUAAACAUUUUUAAUACAC
ensembl:lncRNA